rnacentral:rRNA from 1 species
UAGGGAAUCUUCCGCAAUGGCCGAAAGUCUGACGGAGCAACGCCGCGUGAGUGAAGAAGGUUUUCGGAUCGUAAAACUCUGUUGUCAGAGAAGAACAAGUCGGAGAGUAACUGCUCCGGCCUUGACGGUAUCUGACCAGAAAGCCACGGCUAACUACGUGCCAGCAGCCGCGGUAAUACGUAGGUGGCAAGCGUUGUCCGGAUUUAUUGGGCGUGAAGCGAGCGCAGGCGGUUCCUUAAGUCUGAUGUGAAAGCCCACGGCUCAACCGUGGAAGGUCAUUGGAAACUGGGGAACUUGAGUGCAGAAGAGGAGAGUGGAAUUCCAUGUGUAGCGGUGAAAUGCGUAGAUAUAUGGAGGAACACCAGUGGCGAAGGCGACUCUCUGGUCUGUAACUGACGCCGAGGCUCGAAAGCGUGGGGAGCAAACAG